rnacentral:rRNA from 1 species
CGCCUCUUGUUCUAAUGGGAGGUAGUGCCUGCUCAAUGCCUUCGGGUAAAUAGCCGCAGUAUUUUGACUGUGCUAAGGUAGCAUAAUCAUUAGUCUUUUAAUUGGAGGCUGGUAUGAAUGGCGUGAUGAGAAACCUUCUGUCUCUUUUAUGAGAAUUGAAUUUCACUUCUAGGUGAAAAGGCCUAGAUGAUUCUGGAGGACGAUCAGACCCUGUAGAGCUUUUUGGUUGGGGCGACAGAGAGAAUAAAAUAACACUCUUUUUAAAAACCACGUAUUAGUGAAUUAUUGAUCCCUAGGGAGGGAUUAAAAGACUAAGUUACCUCAGGGAUAACAGCGUAAUUCUUUUGGAGAGUUCUUAUCGAUAAAGGAGUUUGCGACCUCGAUGUUGGAUUAAGAGAUCAGUAGGGUGUAGAAGCUCUAUUGGAGAGUCUGUUCGACUCUUAAAUUCUUACG